AUUCUUCUCAUUGGGAGCAAAUCUUUAACGCUGUGUGACCCUGGGAGAGUCACUUAACCCCCAUUGCCUACCUCUUACCACUCUUCUGCUUUGGAAUCAAUCCAAGAUGGAAGGUAAGGGUUUAAAAAAAAAAAAAUAUAUAUAUAUAUAUAUAUAUUUAGAACGUUAGGUCUCUUCUCCUUUUCCAUUGAUCAUCUUAGGAA
rnacentral:lncRNA from 1 species